rnacentral:rRNA from 1 species
ACAGCAGCAGCCGCGGGAAUACGUAGGUCCCGAGCGUUGUCCGGAUUUAUUGGGCGUAAAGCGAGCGCAGGCGGUUAGAUAAGUCUGAAGUUAAAGGCUGUGGCUUAACCAUAGUACGCUUUGGAAACUGUUUAACUUGAGUGCAAGAGGGGAGAGUGGAAUUCCAUGUGUAGCGGUGAAAUGCGUAGAUAUAUGGAGGAACACCGGUGGCGAAAGCGGCUCUCUGGCUUGUAACUGACGCUGAGGCUCGAAAGCGUGGGGAGCAAACAGGAUUAGAUACCCCCGUAGUCCCUGUCUCUUAUACA